UACGUAGGGUCCGAGCGUUGUCCGGAAUUAUUGGGCGUAAAGGGCUCGUAGGCGGUCUGUUGCGUCGGGAGUGAAAACUUACAGCUUAACUGUGAGCGUGCUUCCGAUACGGGCAGACUUGAGGUAUUCAGGGGAGAACGGAAUUCCUGGUGUAGCGGUGAAAUGCGCAGAUAUACAGGAGGAACACCGGUGGCGAAGGCGGUUCUCUGGGAAUAUCCUGACGCUGAGGAGCGAAAGUGUGGGGAGCGAACAGG
rnacentral:rRNA from 1 species